CGGGCGGUGAUGUGUGCGGAUUCCUGGAGGCUGGGGCCUUGUGCUUUGGAGCUUGGGCGGCUCUUGUGUCCCCGUGUGUCCUCUCUCUGCCCUGUCCUUGGGCCCCCCAGCCCUCCUGCUCUCACCUGCGGGAAUUAAUCAGCUCUGGAGUCCUCAGUGAAAUAAAAUGUUAUAAACAUCCUUUGGUUGUGGAGAAGAAAGGAAGCACGUGACAAGUCAUCUGACCGACCCGACGCAGGACCAGGAGAAGGCUGAGAGCGAGACGAGGACACCCGAGCCUUCCCCCAGGAGGAAGGGGCGUAGGGGCGGGGCCUCGGUGUGCCGCGGGCCUCCACCCCUCAUUUCUGCCUCCCCAGCCGGACAAGGGUUGUCUGGGCUCAGCGCUCCUGUCCUAGAGCCCCUAACCCACGUGUGUCUCCUUGCAGCUCUGUGCAGCAGAGUCCCCGAGACCCUUACCCCACUGUUUGGCACCGAGUAAUGGUGUCCUGUCAGCGGUGUGACCCCUGGGAGCUUGCGCCCCUCCCGGUGGGACAGGCCCGUGAGGGCCCACUGAGUUCUGCCUGAAGCUCGUGGACCAGUGGCAGCACUCACUCACGUUAGGGUGAUUAUCCCCCACGUUGGUCCCAACCAAUGUAAAUUUAUGACCGAGUUUAUAGCUAUCACUGCCGGCACAGAUUUUCUCUUGCCCCAAACCAAGAAUAUUCCACAAACUAACAAUUAAAACAAAGCCAAACUUAUUCUUUA